rnacentral:rRNA from 1 species
UCAGACGAUGCGUCAUGCAUAUCAAUAAGCGGAGGAAAAGAAACUAACAAGGAUUCCCCUAGUAACGGCGAGUGAAGCGGGAAGAGCUCAAAUUUGAAAUCUUAAAGGGUUUCCCUUUACGAAUUGUAGUUUAAAGAAGUGUUUUCUGUUGAGGUUUUGGUAAAAGUUCUUUGGAAUAGGACAUCAUAGAGGGUGAGAAUCCCGUAUUUGACCUUUACUUUCAACUUUGUGAUACACUUUCAAAGAGUCGGAUUGUUUGGGAAUGCAGUCCAAAAUGGGUGGUAAAUUUCAUCUAAAGCUAAAUAUUGGCGAGAGACCGAUAGCGAACAAGUACCGUGAGGGAAAGAUGAAAAGAACUUUGAAAAGAGAGUUAAACAGUACGUGAAAUUGUCAAAAGGGAAGCGUUUGACACCAGUGUUGUUUUUCUGAAAAUCAAUUAAAGAACUGUUUAUGCUAAGUUGUUUAGACUUUAUCAGCUAACUGUUUAGUUUUGAGCUUUUCUUUAAUGCACUUUUCAGUUAACAAGUCAACAUCAAUUUCUUUUGCUGUAAAAAAGCUUGAGGAAGGUGGCUUGAGAUUCGUCUUAAGUGUUUAUAGCCUCUUGCCUAUGCAGUCGGAGAGAUUGAGGUCUGCAGCGUAGAUCCUUCGGGGCUAAAUGCAUUUGUGCUAAGUUAUAGCAUUUUAUAGACAACUUGUUGACUAUGAUUUGUCUUGUAGCUUACUCAGCUUAUGUUAUUUUACCUACGCUUAGGAUGUUGAGCGCAUGUCUCUCUCU